GGGAGAAAGAGGCAGAAGAACGGAGGAAGCAGAGAGAGGAGUUUGAGAGAAGAAAGAGAAGUGACUCUAGUGAGAAGGACAAAUAUCGUGACAGAGAGCGAGACAGGGAUCGAGAUAGGUAUCGCGAACGAGACCGAGAUCGUGAACGGUCUAGAAGAGGUGGCCGUGAUGAAAUAAGAGGAAUGGAUUGGAGGUCUAGGAAUGGAAGAGAUGGAGGCAGGGAUAGGUAUCGUGAUCGGAGCAGGUCAAAAUCCCCUGUAAGACGUGGUCACAGGAGAUCGUCUAGAAGUCCAGUGCGCUCAU
rnacentral:misc_RNA from 1 species